UAGCUCAUUCAUGGAAUAAUGAAAACAGGACUUCGGUUCUUUUUGUUGGUUCUAGAAUUGAUCUAAUGGUAAAGAGGGACAAACCGGGGGCAUUCGUAUCAUUACGCGAGAGGUGAAAUUCGUGGACCGUAGUGAGACGCCCAAUAGCGAAAGCAUUUGCCAAGAAUGUCUUCAUUAAUCAAGAACGAAAGUCAGAGGUUCGAAGGCGAUUAGAUACCGCCCUAGUUCUGACCGUAAACGAUGCCAUCUCGCGAUUCGGAGGGUUCAUGCCCUACCGAGGAGCUACCCGGAAACGAAAGUCUUUCGGUUCCGGGGGUAGUAUGGUUGCAAAGCUGAAACUUAAAGAAAUUGACGGAAGGGCACCACAAGGCGUGGAGCUUGCGGCUUAAUUUGACUCAACACGGGAAAACUCACCCGGUCCGGACACUAUUAGGACUGACAGAUUGAAAGCUCUUUCUCGAUUUGGUGGUUGGUGGUGCAUGGCCGUUCUUAGUUGGUGGAGUGAUUUGUCUGGUUUAUUCCGAUAACGAGCGAGACUCUAGCCUGCUAAAUAGUCGACGAAUCUUCGGGUUCGUAUAACUUCUUAGAGGGAUAAGCGGUGUUUAGCCGCACGAGAUUGAGCGAUAACAGGUCUGUGAUGCCCUUAGAUGUCCGGGGCUGCACGCGUGUGUACACUGGUGGAGUCAGCGGGUUUUUCCUAUGCCGAAAGGUAUCGGUAAACCGUUGAACUUCUUCCAUGUCCGGGAUAGGGUAUUGUAAUUAUUACCCUUAAACGAGGAAUGCCUAGUAAGUGUGAGUCAUCAGCUCACGUUGAUUACGUCCCUGCCCUUUUGUACACACCGCCCGUCGCUAUCCGGGACUGAACUGAUUCGAGAAGAGUGGGGACUGUGGCUGCGAGGUUUUACCACUUCGCAGUUGCGGAAACCAUUUUUAUCGCAUUGGUUUGAACCGGGUAAAAGUCGUAACAAGGUAGCUGUAGGUGAACCUGCAGCUGGAUCAUCG
rfam:Caenorhabditis japonica strain DF5081 Contig8854.1, whole genome shotgun sequence.